GGGGUCUGGGGGUCUGGGGAGAGGGCCUGCAGGACUUCUGACCGCUGGAGCCGUCCCUGGCCCCAGACUGGAGUGCUCUGCUGUGUUUGGUGCUUUAUCCAGCUUCCUCAGAUUAACACAGGAGGACAUCACAAAUCACGCCCUUGGGGGUGUUCCUGUGGACCAGGUAAGUCUUACAUCCAACAGCUAGGUCUGCUUAGCAGGGACACUAAGAUUCUCAUUUCAUUUUGGGUUUGGUUUUGUAAUCAAAUUACCUUGCAAUUCUUACUAGGAUUAUAGUCAUAUGCCACCAUGUCUGUAUCUUACAAUCUUUUUUAUUUCUCUUGAAUUUGAGAAUGCCUUCAUUUUUAUGCCUACUUGUGUCUUCUGUCUUAUUUUUCUUUGUCAUUCUGGAUAAAGUGUAGUCAAUUUUAUUGAUCCUUUCAAAGAGCAAGCUUUUGGUAUAUUGGUCCCAUUGCUUUUCUGGUUUCUAUUUAAUCUGUUUUAAACACUGGUGUUUUGAUCACUGUUCUUGCUUGCUUGCUGCCGUGGUCUGAAUGUUGGUGUCUUCCUGAGAUCUUUACCUUGAAGCCUAACUCCCAGUAUGAUAGUAUUAAGAGGUAGGCACUUUGGAAGAUGAUUAGCAUGAGAUUUUGAAUAUGAUAAGAGUGAUAAGUAGCCUGUUACUGCCUUCCACCAAAGUGAGGAUGGAACAAUCUAUGAAACGAAGGGUGUGAGCUCUCUCUAGAUACUGAAUCAGCCAGCAGCUUGAUUGGGGCCCAUCUACCUCUAGAACUGUGAGCUUCUGUUGUUUUUAAGAUACUUAUUCUGAGAUAUUUUGUUAUAGCAGACACAACAGACUAAGACACUUCUGUUAGCUUUGUGUUUGCUUUUUCUCUUUUCUAGUUCCACAAAAUGUUGUGUUGUUAAUGCUUUGAUGUUUUUCUUUUUUUUUAACGCAGUGUUUAUAUCCAUAUAUUUCCCUCCAAGCACUGUUGUCACUUUAUAAGUUAGGGUAUGUUGCAUGUUCAUUUCUGACCUUCAGAGUGCUUUCUAGUGUCUCUUGUGAUUUCUUUUUGAUUUAUUGGUUACUAGUCUGUUACUGAAGCUUUGUGUGUUAGUUGGGUUUCCAUUUGUUGUUCUACUAUUUUUUUUUUUUUUUGUCUCUUUCAUUUUUAUCGGUACCGGGGAUCGAACUCACGACCGCCUGCUUGCAAGGCAGGCGCUUAUGCCACUGAGCUAAAUCCCCAGCCCCUGUUGUUCUACUAUCGAUAGGAAGCUUUGUUCCCCUGUUGGUUAUGAAAGGUGCCUUUUUAGUUUGUUUCUAAAAAUUUGUUCAGACUUGUUUUGCAGUUUACCUCAUGGCCUGUCCUAGAGAAUGUCCCAGUGCCCUUGAGAGAAAAGUGUGUGCUACUGUUGUUGAGCUGAAUGUCUGUGUACUUUGCAGGGUCUAAUUGUUCAUAGAGUUCUUCAUUUUCCCAGUGUCCUUACGGAUCUCAGCCAGAUGUUUUACUUGUUACUGAAAGUGAUAAUUAACAUAGCCUUUCUUUUGUUUACUGCUUAUAUGGAGUAUCUUUUUUCUGUACUUUCCCUUUCAAUCUACAUAUUUUUGCUUGAGAUCUUUGGGAAUUGUUUCUUUUCUUUUUUUUUUUUUUUUUUUUUUUUUUGUCUUUUUCCUUUUUAUGGGUACCUGGGAUCGAACUCACAACUGCCUGCUUGCAAGGCAGGCGCUUAUGCCGCUGAGCUAAAUCCCCAGCCCCAAAUUGUUCUUUUCUAGAAUUUCCCACUUAAUAUUUUUGGACCAUAAUUAUCUAUAGAUAAUCUGAAACCACAGAAAGCAAAACAAUAAAUAAGAGGAGACAACUAUGUUCAAAAUUCCCACUUCUUCCCUAUUCAGUGUUAGAUCUUACUAGAAAGACUUUUUGAAAAAGUAUUUGGGAUUUUGAUAAUCAUUGCCCCAAAUUGAAAGACUGAAGCAACAUAAAAAUUAGGAACAACAUAGAGGACAAGUUGCCUUCCAUUGUCUAAUGAACAUCAAAUGCAAGGAGAUUUAAAGAAAUUCAAGUUAACAUCCAGUUCCUUAGUAUCACCACCAAUACCCAUCACUUUCCAUGUCCUCCAAGUUUCACAUCAGAAAAGCACAGAGGCUCAAAAAAAGAAAUGGGAAGAAAUGUGUCACGUGUAACACUUUACCUUCAUUAAUCUUUCUGAUUUGUUCAUUUUGUUUUUUUCUUAUUCUAAACUCAUGCACACCAACAUUGAUGGUUCAUAGAAGUUUAUUAUAAAAGAGCAAUUUACUUGUGCUUUGUAAUUUGCAUUUCCAUGUUGUUUUGGAUUCCGAAUUUUAAUUCAUAGCAUUUACAGGUAGGAAAAAAGUGAAAUGUGACUGCAAUGUAUGUGUAAUAUGAAGUUUUUUUAUAGUUAAAUGUCGCCCCGUCACAGUGUAUGUGUAAUAUGUAUGUGUACAAUUUUUGAUGUUUAAUAUGUCCUUGUCUGAAGGACUUCAAUUAUGUUCCUGCUGUUUUGGAAUCAUUGAACGUACUCCUCAGUUGUCUCUCUUAGAUUUCAAGUCCAAACUUGAUUUCUCCCCCCUAUUAAAAAAUCUGGAGGGUAAAUAUCAGCCAUUUGUUUGGAAGCAAUUUUCAGCAAGUAAAAAUAACACUCGAGGUCAUUGUCAAUAUUUUAAAGCAUAGUGUUGUGGAUGUUGUAGAGAUAAAGUCCAGAAUCAUAUGUUAAAAUGUCUUCUUAUAGGUGCGAUCUAAAUGUGUAGUGAUGCCAAGUGUGGUGGCACAUGCCUGUAAUCCCAGCACUUGGGAGGCUGAGGCAGGAGGAUCAUUGUAAAUUCAAGACCAGGCUGAGCUACAAAGCGAGCUCAAGGCCAGCGUGCACUUCAUAGUGAGACCCUUCCUCGAAAAGACCAAAAUAGAUAGAUAAAUAAAUGUAGGGUGCAUGUUUAAAUUUAAAAUUUCAUUACAGCAAAAGACUCAUUGCCAUUAAUUCCCCUCAAAAUAACUUCUAUUUCCUUUGAAAACACUUAGCCUGUUGUUCUUGCAGUAUCUGAAGCCGUUCUGGAGGCCUCUUCUGUGAGAAUAUGCAAGUCAUGAAAAAACUUUUUCGGCGAAUGCUGCUGCCAAGUGUUUUCUGAUAGAAAGCUGUUUUAUGCUAUAUUCAUGGCCAGGCAGAGCUCAGGAGUUGGUGAAAAGGCCACUGAGUCUGUGUUCCGUCCCUGGUAUUGUUCGCCCUCUGAUAGGAAUUGGAUAGGAUCCAAAUGUGUCUCCAGAAGUUUGUGUGCUACAAUCUGAAAACAUGAGACUGUGUUUUCAUCUACCUUAUAUUCACUGGACCUGGCACCAUUAGUCCUCCAGCUCUUCCCUAAAAUCAAAAUGACAGGAGAAGUCAGUGUUGUGAAUCAGCUCAGGAUUUGAGGCAGCCACUAUAGCCUAAGUAAACACACCUCAGAAAGAGGAAUUCCAGAACUGAUCCAAAAGGGACAAGAGCAAAGAGUGAAGUGUAUUUGAAGCAAGGGAGAGUAUUUGGUGGUGGUGGAGGAGGGGUUUGUUAAAUGGCAAUGUUCUUUUACUGCAAUGAAUUUUUUUUUUUUUGUACCAGGGAUUGAACUCGUGGCUGCACGCUUGCAAGGCAGGUGCUUAUGCCGAUGAGCUAAAUCCCCAGCCCUGUAAUGAAUUUUUAAAAAUACAAUUAUUCGUGUGGUUUUUCAACCAUAACUUCUAUAUUCUCAUUUCUGUUGGCCUAACAAGGAAAGAGGCGCAUUCAAAAUACAGCAGGUUUCAGCUCCUUUUUUUCCCCAAGUUAAUAGCAACUUUCCUACAGAGCAUACUUCACCAGUGGAAAAAAAUUUUGAAAGUAAUUUAAAACCAGGGUUUUGUAUGUUUUGUUACCACAGUGCAUAAUGAACUAGCCUUGAAGUGCAGGGCUAUUUGUGUUGUUGUUCAUGGCCAGUUGGAGCUCCAGAGUGGAUAGGAAGGUAACUAGGUCUGUUCUGUCUCUGCUACUGCUGGUCCUCUGCUGUGGACGGGGUGUGAUCCAAGCGUGUCUCCAGAAGUCUGUACGCUGCAGGCUUGGUCCCAGUGUGGUAUGAGGAGAUGGUAACACCUUCAGGAAGCAGGGCCUAAUGGAAAGAGGUUAGGUCAUAAGGUUCUUUCUCCCUUGAAGGGAAGUUAGGUAGUUCUCGUGGGUCUCUGGAUAAUUGCUGUGUGAUGGCAAGUUGUGAUAGAGAGUUCAAGUCUCUUGAGUCUGUCUGGCUUCCUGUCUGGCUGGUGCUCUCUCCAUCUUACAUUCUCCCACCAUGGUGCCAUCUACCAGGUUAUGACACCAUGAGCAGGGCCUGCCACAGUACCAGUAUCAUGCUCUUGGAUCCCCACAGCAGAACCUAAAUAAACCUCUUUUCUUUACAGAUUAUCCAUCAUCAAGUAUUUCAUUAUAGGAACAGAAACUGGACCAACGCAGCCCUUCCCUUUCCUGUCAUUUUCCAUUCAUGCCCUUCUGAAUAUCGAAUGCAGGUGUUGGUGUUGAUGAUGUGUUCAUCGUGAUUCCUGCCUGGCAGAAGACCAGCCUCAUGGACAGCAUAAGAAAGAGAAUGUCCAAGGCCUAUACACAUGUGGUAGUGUCCAUCACAAUUACCACCGUCAGCUACGUCCUGGCCUUCUAUACAGGGAUCAUGAGCUCUUCCAAGGCCAUACAUACUUUUGUGUCUACACAGGAAUAAGCUUGCUUUUUUGCUAUUUUUAUAGCAUCACCUGGUUUGGAGCAGUUAUGGCCCUAGAUGGUAAGAGAGAAGUAGUCUGCCUACAGUGGUUGAAAAGCCAGACCAAAAAUGGUCUUCAUGAAAAAAGGCCUGCUGCCUGGCCUUUGGUUCUGUCACAGAUGGACAGAAACCGAUGUCCACCCAAUGAAUGUGUUCUUUAGAGACUAUUUUGGUCCUUUUCUUACACGCACCAAGACCAAGUUUUUCAUAGUGCUGACAUACAUUUUGUACAUGAUACGCAGUAUAUAUGGGUGUUAUAAGUGCAGAAAGGCUUGGGCCUUUGAAAGGUGGCCAGUGAUGGUUCCUACAUCACACCAUAUUAUGAUGUAGGGAAGAUUAUUUUUCAUAUUAUGUCCCAGGGUUAUGGUUGUUGUCACUGAAAGUGUUAAAUACUGAGAUGAAGAUGUAAGGCAAAAAUUGGAAAAAAUGUGUAGUGGGUUUUCAAGAAAACAAGUAUGUAGAUAAAAAUAUUACAGAGUUUUGGUUACAGACAUACAUGCACUAUAUGAAAGGUAACAGUGAAGAUUCUAAUGAUAGGAAUUCUUUUAUGGACAAUAUUUCUGUAAUAUUUCAUCAUCAAAUGAAAUCAUUUCUCCCCAGGGUUUCAUUUGGACUAAGAUGUUGCUAACCCAGUCAGAAAGAAGUGAAUGUUACAACAGUUACCAGAUGGAGCCAAACAAUGUGAGGUCCCUUGCUUGUGUAUAACCUCAUAUAUUCUGACCAGUAUGGGGGAGUACUGGAAAGCACUUUUUGCAAUGUCAUGGCUGCAUCAGCAGCUAUGUUCCUGGUCUCCUUGGUGCUUAUCCCUAACCCAGUGUGUGCCUUGUUGGUGACACAUGCAGUCAGUUUUGUAAUUGUGGAAGUGACAGGUUUCAUGGCAUUCUGGAAGGUCAAUCUCAGUUCCCUAUCCAUGAUUAACCUUGUAAUUUGUAUAGGGGUUUCUUUGGAUUUUUCUGCACACAUUUCCUAUGCUUUUGUUUCCGGUUCUGAGCCCUCGGCAAAUGGAAAGGCAAUGGAGGCCUUGCAUCUGUUGGGCUCCCCGGCGUUACAGAGUGCAACCUCAACAGCAGUAGGGGUGUACAUUUUAGCUGCUGCCCAAGCACACAGCUUCAGGACAUUUUUAAGGUUAUGUUUCUUAUUAUGGUAUUUGGGGCUGCCCAUGGCCUCAUUUUUAUUCCAGUAUUCUUAACCUUUAUCUGAAGGUCUGUUUGAAAAGCCACUAAAAAAAGGCCAGUUGUAGAAUUCUGACUGACCCAAUCCAAUCUGAUUUUUUUAAAUGCACAAUUAAGAAAAGUUGAUAAGGGCUGGGGAUUUAGCUCAGCGACAUAAGCGCCUGCCUUGGAAGCAGGCAGUCAUGAGUUCGAUCCCUGGUACCGAUAAAAAGGAAAAAAACAAACAAACAAAAAAAAGUUGAUAAACUUUAAAUGAAAACAGACUGCUUGACUUGGAGAUUCAAUUUUAAAUCAUUAUCUAACAUAGCCUGAGAAAACUUAGUUUUACAUGAAAAUACUAAGUUAGUAUUGUCAUCCUAAUGACAGCUGCUAUAGUCAAGUACAAGGUAUAAGGUAUAACUUUCUAGCCAUUUUUUCCUUUUUUUUUUUUUUUUUUUUGAUUCCAGGGAUUGAACUCACAACCUCAGGCUUGCCAGGCAGACGAAUAUGCCACUGAGCUAAAUCCCCGGCUAUUUUUUCCUUUUAUUUCAUCAAAAAAAAACUGGAAUUAUUACUGGAAUUGAAAUAUCUUACUUCUUGUUCAUACUGUAAGUGGAAUAUUAUUUCAUUGCUUCCCUAUAUGCAAUAUUAUGUGAAAAUGUAAUAUUAUGUAUAUUUCUAGUUUAGAGGAUUUUUGUGCACUUUCUCAGUGUUAUAUUUUAAUAAAGAAAAGUUGUUUUUCCUUCGCAUCUUUUUAUCAGUCCAUAUUGACUAUACAGGUUAAUGGGUUUCAUUUUGGCUGAUCCAUACACAGCAUACCUAAUUUUCACCCCCUCAUAAUGCCUCUCGCCCCAUCUUGCCCCCUAGUUUCACGUUGUUUGAGUGCAUGUGUUUUGAUCACUUCCAGCCCCCAUUACCUACUUUUAUUAUACUCCCUUUGCUUUAUUCACUUUCUCUUCUCUGAUAGUCUCCCUUCUACUUCCUGUCAUCUUGUUUGGAUUACACAUAUAUUAGGGAAAACACGUAUCUGUCCCUCCAGUCUGGCUUGUUUUAUUCAAUGUGGUCUUCAGAUCAGUCAGUCUUCCUGCAAAUGACAAAAUUUUGUGUUUCCUUACGAACAUAUAGUACUCCAUUUUAUAUUUAUAUUUAUAUGCAGUGAUACCUCAAUUGUCAAACAACUCCAGGCUAGAACUUUCCAUUACUCAAAUGGCAAAUUUCAGGGGAAAAAAAAUGUUUUGUGUUUGUAACUUUGCUCAAUAAUCGAACCAAAAAUCCAACUUGAGAAAACCUGUGUAGGCUGAGAGUAAGUCAUGCAGUGAGACACAGAGGGGUGACACUUCAGUCUAAGUGCUGCUCUCUCUCAGAUAAUACAUAGUGCUUGUGUUAAUGUAUUAAAAGACUCAUUGUUGUACUUUAUUUGCAUAAAAUAUUGUAACCGUAGCUCCAAAGAAAGUGAUGUCAGCAGUAAAGCUAAGAGGAAACCUGAGAACCACAAUAGCAUUAAAGAAAUCAUAAAAUUUGUUAAAGUCCUGGAAAAAUGAAUUUAUAAGUAAUUUGGAAGAUUGAAAAACAGUUAUUUGGUUUUCCAUUAGUCCAUUAGUUCUUGAACUUUUUGGUGUUUAAACACAACUUUGGGAUGAACUGAGUUCAGCAACCAAGAGUAGGUUCCCUAGUCUGGUUCCAUGUCUUCACUAUUCUGAAUUGUGCUGCCAUGAACAUGGGCAUACAGCUAUGCCUACAAUAGGCUGAUUCCUUUGGAUACCAAGAAUCAGUACAGCUGGAUCAGAUAGCAGCUCUCUUAGUUUUUUAAGAAACAUCCAUAGUGAUUUCCAUAGUGGUUUUCCUAACUUACAUUUCCAUUGGCAAUGCAGGAUAGUUCUUCCCCCACAUGCUCAGCAUUUAUUGUUUUCUGUGUUCCUGAUAAUACUCAUUCUGACUGAGAUGAAAGGAAAUCUCUGUAGCUUUGAUUUGUAUUUCUCUACUGGCUAAGAUGUCAGAUGCCUUUCAUAUACUUAAUUGUCACUUGUACUUCUUUUGAGAUGUGCUUAUUUGAAUCAUUUGUUGAUUGGGCUGUUUGAUUUUUUUAUGUUAUUUUUUAAUUCUUUAAUGAAUUUUUAAAGUUUAUAUAUCCAGACUGUUGUUUUUAUAUGAUUAGUGCUUUCUGUGUCCUAAGAAAUAUUUGUUAUGUCAAAGGUUUGGGGAAAACUCAUCUAUGUGUGCUGCUCAAAGCUAAUAAUUAUACAUUUAGGGUUAAGACUCACACACUUGUAUAUAUUAGAUAUGAAAAGGUUACAGUUUCUUGCCAUAAUACAGGGACUAUGGUCAGGCUAAGAGUUAGGCACAGGGACCCGGGAAUGGGGGACCCAUCAGGGACACAAUCCUAGCCCCAUGUAAGCUAGCCAAGCGGGGCUAGUGCAGCCCAUCUCCAUCCCUCACAACGCAGCUCAAGGCCCAGGCCCCGCCUGCCUGGUGUGUCUGUCCUGUGUGUCCCACUGUGGUUGCCACUGUCCCAUCCCACCCCAGGCCUCAGGAAGUUCAGGGGUACUGUGACCCUGUCCUCUGUGCUCUAACUGCAUCCCCAGUGGGCACCUUUGUCCUUGGGUGGGAGAGGUGCAGAAACCUGGGCUGGGGAAAUUGUAUUCCCUGGAGGAGGACACCACAUUUGCUCUUCUCCCCUGCAGUCUGGUUUCUGUUUUCUAGGGGUAAGGCCAGGUGCACCUUCUGGGAUGGGCCAAAUGAGAGCAACAAGUCCCUCCAGGAAGUCUGACAGUCUUGGGUGCCAUUUUCUGAGAACACAAGUUUUACUUUUAACAUUCUUAUGGCACCUAAUGUAUACUAGGUACUAGGCAAGGUACAAAUAAUUACACCUUUCCUUCCAAACAGCCUAGGCCCACAAAAUCUGAGCUAGUUGGAGGUCACGCAGCACCACUGAGUUGGAAGCACAGUGCAUAUUGUUUGCAUAUGUAUGGCCACAGCCUAAGAAGGUGGGUUCCCUUCCUAGUCAGUGAGUUCAUCACAGUACAGGCAGCACAGGUUUGGGGUGCUAAUAACAGGAGGUAUGAGGCUAGGGGGCAGGUCUUAGAGCUAUCUAAGAGCAGGUACUUGCCAGGUCAGGCAAGGACAGCAUCCCAGUCCUGGCCAGCCCUCCAGGAGCCCACCUCUGGUCCCAUCAGCAAAUCUGGUUUCCACCAGAAGGUAGCCUACAGGGAGGGAGGAAGUGACUGGGCCUGGUGAGAGGCCAAAGUACAACAGAAAAAAUACAGAAACCAGACAAGGAAAGCUGUAAUGUUAAAAUUGUACAUUUUAAGAAAACCACAGCUUCGGGACACAAAAUUUAUUCAAGCUUUUUUCCCUUACUGGCAAAAAUUUUAAGAUCCUUAUAGAGGCUAAGCCUGUAAACAUGGCUCUGGGCCUCAGCUUUCACCUGUACCACAGCUCCUUCCCUUUGAUACAGAAUAAAUAUAAUUCCUGACUUGUUAGAAAUGUGCUGAAUUUGUGGACCAUCUGGAAAUGAAGUCAUAAGCCACAGGAAGAAGUUAGGAGAGGGGAUCCAACACAGCUGAAUAAAGAAGGAGCCACAUUGGAGCUACUCAGAGAAAAUCAACUAAAAACACAAGGUAAUUGGAAGAAAAGGAGAGACAUAUGUCCUGGUGUCAGAAUCAAUCUUAAGUAGACUUGGAGAUCAAAGGACUUUAUAAAAGGAUCAUCAAGCCCACCAGGCUACCCAUGUGUCUGUUACCUGCACAGAGCAGGAAUCCGCGUUCCUGGAAAGCAUCCCCCCCCCCAAAUAAAAAAACGGGUAGACUACAAUUCUGUGGCAAACACAAUUCACACAAGAUAGAUCUGGGUUAUAUAGAUGGCCCUUACCUAUUUUGCUUUCCUGCAAACAGAGGGCAGUACAACCUGGCAACAAAUUUUGCCAGCACACACAGGGGCAAGUGACCGGGAAAUUGCUCCCUCUUUGACAGGCUGCUGGUUUCUCUUUUUGUUUUGUAUUUGUCAUGCACCCUAGCAGCUAACUGGAACCCCUAGGAACAACAAGGUUAGGGGCCUCGGCAAUGGCAGAGAGAGUAGGGAGUGGAACAGCAAGACUCUUCCUGCCCAAUGACCAAUGCAGGAGAUGGACACAGAUUGCAGACACGGUAUUCAAGCAAUCUUGGGUCCAGAAAACAGUACGCCCCCUACCCUGUGACCAGCGGCCCUCAACACGGAGGGAUACAGAGUGGGAAGUCACCACUGCCACCCAACCCGCAACCAGUUGCAUGAGCAGCCUCAAGAGGAAAAGGAAAAGGAGUGGGAAGUUGGCAUCCUCCCCCCACGACCAGCAUGUGAGAUGCCGCAGUUUAGAACAGAGGAGGCUGUACAAGGUCCGGGAAGGGCCACUGUACACGGGACUGGGAGCAGCCUCGGGCUGUCUCUGGCUCGAGUGCCUCAGCAACUGUGAAAGCGAUGCUGAGACAAACAGAAAACAGGGACAAACCACCCAAAAAGCUGCUGGGGAGUGAAUUGAGUAAAUCAUUGGACGAGUCAGAGUGAGUCAGUCAGUCAUGACGACCAGAGUCACGAGACAAUCGAACGAGGAAAAGUAUCCGGUGUUGCCACCGUGUGGUCGUAGGUCCCCCCCACGAAGCUGGUGAUCGAUUGAUUCUGCCUAGACUGCCCUCAAAGGGGCGGAUGGAUCCUCAAUUCGCAGAUCUUUAGUAGCUAAAGACAGCACCUGACCGCCCGCCCUCCUGCUUGAACUGGCCCGACCCUUCCAAAAAAGAAAUAAAAAUGACCACCUCAUUAACUAAGUGAA